rnacentral:misc_RNA from 1 species
AAAUCAAGGACUGUUGAGGUGAGAACACCUACAUCAAAUUUCUUCCUUUAGUGGUUGUUGGAUGGCUGCAUAUAAAAAAUACAGUAGAUGGUAACUUCUAUUCGAAUCUACAUUCUGUUCUCAGUUCUUUACAGAUAGGCAGGGGGAUUCCCCCUUUUUUUCUUUUAGUUUUUCCUUUUUGGCAUUUUUGGUGGAAGGAAAAAGGAGAAAACAGAAAGAGGAAAGGAAGGAAGGAGAGAGAGGGGGGGUUGUUGGCUAGUGGAGCAAAUUUAUUCACAGGUUACGAUUUUCAAGGUUUUGAUAUUGUUUAACCUUCCUUUAAUUUUAUUUUUUAAUUGAGAGGUAUGGGUGGUGGUAAAACUUUUCAAGCAUUUGUAUUAGGGUCUUUUCUUAAAUCUUUGUAUGAACUGUAUCCUUCAUUUCAUAAGUUAAUACAUGGGCACUUUUUUUUGAUGAUUUUUGCUGACCUUUUAUUCUUUGCCAUAAUUACUUUAUUUGUACAGUAAAGCCAGUACCUAAUUAAAGAGUCUUUUCUCAAUCAAAAUUUUGGCAGGUGGAAGAGGAG